rnacentral:tRNA from 1 species
GGGGACAUGGUCUAGCCCGCUUUACAAGGCAUAUCGCCAUAAAGGCGAAGUAGGACGACCUUGGCACCGCAAUCGCCGUGCCAACGCCAACGGCUCCAGACCGGUUGAUCACGAGUUCAAAUCUCGUUGUCCCCA